UCGCUGCCAGCCAGGUUACUUCCGCUCUCAUAGCACUAAGGGGAUUUUCACCAAGUGAUAACGGUGUGUUUAGUAAGGAGACCUUCAGAUUUUGGCAAACGAACAGCACUUCGGGUGAGCAUUGUUAAGUGCCUCUGUGAUCAUGGCUCUACAAAAUACCAUGCUCCUAUGGCGCCGGAUGUAAUAGAGCUGGCCGAGAUUUUAGCGGAAUGACGUCAUCACUCCGUGUGCAUACGCUGCAUGAGAACAGAUACAAGUGAAAGGUCGAGUAAGGUUUGACCCCAACCAGUCCCAGGUGAUCUACAGUGAGCACUAAGUGUAUCCAUAAAAAACCUGAGGUUGUGGAAGAGAGGUCUGGUCUGAUAUUCCACAGGGAUGGGGGGAGGGAAGCAGCUCGGGGCUGGAACAAAGUGGAUCCUGUAACUCAUUAAAGAAGCUUGCGAUCACAAGGCACAGAGGAAAGGCCAAUCAAAUUGUGUUAUGGCCAUCAGCGCUGUCAUGCGUCUGUCUGUGAGCACUGUAAACAUGGGGUUUUGAUCUCAUCUUAAUUCCAGAGCUGUUCCCUUACCAGCUGGCUGAGGUAAAAUCAACACUGAGGCAUUCCCAUAGGAAAACAAAAUCACAAAUCUCUUUAAUAACUUAACUGUUUUUAAUCUAGACACAAAUGAGAUUAAAUCGAGGGCAAAAUGUGGAAAUUUUUUGACUUCUGCUUAAGUCACCUGAUUUAACAUGUUGUAGUACCUCUAGUUUCAGAAGAAUGUCUCAAAAUGUGCCUUUAAUCAGACGUCAGACACAAACAUUUCUCAUCAAAUUCAUACAAAAUGCAAUUAUUUGAGCUAUUUUCCAAAUGUAUUUUACUUACAGCAGAGGCCAAAAUGUUAUGUCCAACAUUGGAAAAUUUAUGGACAUCUUCAUUCUAUAUUUAAAUGUAAAAGAAGAUACUUGGCCAAAACAAUGCAUGCACAAAGCUUAUUGAGUAAAGGUACAGAAG